rnacentral:rRNA from 1 species
AGAGUUUGAUCAUGGCUCAGAACGAACGCUGGCGGCGCGUUUUAAGCAUGCAAGUCGAACGGGAUGGGAAGCCAGCACCAGGGGCAUGAUUUUCGCAAAAGCGAAAAGGUGAAUCUGGUGCUGGUUUUCCUGAGAGUGGCGCACGGGUGAGUAACACGUAGGUGAUCUGCCCUUGGAUCGGGGAUAGCUCAUGGAAACAUGAGAUAAUACCGGAUACGUCCUCUGUUGCGAGACAGAGGGGAAAGCUCCUUUACGGGAGCGUCCUUGGAUGAGCCUGCGCUCCAUUAGCUAGUUGGUGAGGUAACGGCCCACCAAGGCGACGAUGGAUAGCCGGCCUGAGAGGGUGUACGGCCACACUGGGACUGAGACACGGCCCAGACUCCUACGGGAGGCAGCAGCUAAGAAUCUUCUGCAAUGGGGGAAACCCUGACAGAGCGACGCCGCGUGAACGAUGAAGGCCGCAAGGUUGUAAAGUUCUUUUCUUUGUGAGGAAUAAGCGAGAGAGGAAAUGCUCUUGUGAUGACGUAAGCGAAGGAAUAAGCCCCGGCCAAUUACGUGCCAGCAGCCGCGGUAAUACGUAUGGGGCGAGCGUUGUUCGGAAUCAUUGGGCGUAAAGGGCGUGUAGGCGGCAUAGCAAGCUUGGUGUGAAAGGUCACGGCUUAACCGUGAAUGUGCGCUGAGAACUGCUAAGCUUGAGUCUUGGGGAGGAAGCUGGAAUUCCUGGUGUAGGGGUGAAAUCUGUAGAUAUCAGGAAGAACACCGAUGGCGAAGGCAAGCUUCUAUCCAAAGACUGACGCUGAGGCGCGAAAGUGUGGGGAGCAAACGGAUUAGAUACCCUAGUAGUCC